UACGGAGGGUGCGAGCGUUAUUCGGAAUUACUGGGCGUAAAGCGCGUGUAGGCAGCUUGACAAGUCUGAUGUGAAAGCCCUGGGCUCAACCUGGGAAGUGCAUUGGAAACUGUCAGGCUUGAGUACCGGAGAGGAUGGGGGAAUUCCCGGUGUAGAGGUGAAAUUCGUAGAGAUCGGGAGGAAUACCAGUGGCGAAGGCGCCCAUCUGGACGGUAACUGACGCUGAGACGCGAAAGCGUGGGGAGCAAACAGG
rnacentral:rRNA from 1 species